rnacentral:misc_RNA from 1 species
GAUGAAGAACGCAGCGAAAUGCGAUACGUAAUGUGAAUUGCAAAUUCAGUGAAUCAUCGAGUCUUUGAACGCACAUUGCGCCCCCUGGUAUUCCGGGGGGCAUGCCUGUCCGAGCGUCAUUGCUGCCCUCAAGCACGGCUUGUGUGUUGGGCCCCGUCCUCCGAUUCCGGGGGACGGGCCCGAAAGGCAGCGGCGGCACCGCGUCCGGUCCUCGAGCGUAUGGGGCUUUGUCACCCGCUCUGUAGGCCCGGCCGGCGCUUGCCGAUCAACCCAAAUUUUUAUCCAGGUUGACCUCGGAUCAGGUAGGGAUACCCGCUGACCUUAAGCAUAUCAAUAAGCGGAGGA